rnacentral:lncRNA from 1 species
GAAGACCUUCAGAGCCUCAGGUUAGGCUCACUGUGUGUGGUCCUGGAGUGUCCUGCCUGAGACCCUGGGAACGUUAGCUCUCACAGACACUCUGAGAACAUUUCCCCAGCGGCCAGGAUCUAGUUAGCUUGACUGUGUCCUCCUGAAGAUCCAGGUCUCUAUACAGUUAGAGUCCCAUUUAUAGGAAGGACCCUGGCCAUAGAAAGGCAUGGGUAGAGAAGAGGUAGAAUUUUCUUGAAAUUGAAGUGCUGGAUACUUUAUGUGAGUUUAGACUCCUCUUCUUGAAAUUACUGAAUGUUCCUUACCAGGGUCUAUAAAGAACACAUUAGCUUGUGCUAACUCUAUUUUGUAAUCAACAGUGAUGUGAAAAUAAGAACAACACAGAUCUCACAGAGAGGGGGUAUUGCUGUAUAGAAGAGUCUAGCAGGGGCUUCCUGCUAGGAAAAAGGGCUCCAUAAAAAUCUUCUCACUGUUAGGAAUGCCACAAGGCAUAGUCUUAAACCAGGGCAGGAUGGGGCUCAGCUCUUGGGAAGAAUACAUCAAAUGAUCAGGAGCUCUUAG